rnacentral:rRNA from 1 species
UGGGGAAUAUGGCUAAUGGGCGGAAGCCUGAUGCAGCAACGCCGCGUGCGGGANNACGGCCUUCGGGUUGUAAACCGCUUUCGCCUGUGACGAAGCGUGAGUGACGGUAAUGGGUAAAGAAGCACCGGCUAACUACGUGCCAGCAGCCGCGGUGAUACGUAGGGUGCGAGCGUUGUCCGGAUUUAUUGGGCGUAAAGGGCUCGUAGGUGGUUGAUCGCGUCGGAAGUGUAAUCUUGGGGCUUAACCCUGAGCGUGCUUUCGAUACGGGUUGACUUGAGGAAGGUAGGGGAGAAUGGAAUUCCUGGUGGAGCGGUGGAAUGCGCAGAUAUCAGGAGGAACACCAGUGGCGAAGGCGGUUCUCUGGGCCUUUCCUGACGCUGAGGAGCGAAAGCGUGGGGAGCGAACAGGCUUAGAUACCCUGGUAGUCCACGCUGUAAACGGUGGGUACUAGGUGUGGGGUCCAUUCCACGGGUUCCGUGCCGUAGCUAACGCUUUAAGUACCCCGCCUGGGGAGUACGGCCGCAAGGCUA